rnacentral:rRNA from 1 species
UGAAUACGAGAUGCUACGGCGUCGAAGCAGUGUAUGUCAGACUUCCAAGAAAAGCUCGCAAUGUCAUAAAUAAAGAAUGCCUGUACCAUAACCGACACAGGUGGGUAGGUAGAGUAUACUAAGGGGCGCGAGAUAACUCUCUCUAAGGAACUCGGCAAAAUAACUCCGUAACUUCGGGAGAAGGAGUGCCUUCUUUAAGAAGGUUGCAAUAACAAGAUCCAAGCAACUGUUUAUCAAAAACACAGGUCUCCGCUAAGUCGUAAGACGAUGUAUGGGGGCUGACGCCUGCCCAGUGCCAGAAGGUUAAAGAAGUUGGUUAGCUUUUGCGAAGCUGAUGACUGAAGCCCUGGUGAACGGCGGCCGUAACAAUAACGGUCCUAAGGUAGCGAAAUUCCUUGUCGGGUAAGUUCCGACCCGCACGAAAGGCGUAAUGAUUUGGAUACUGUCUCGGAGAGGGACUCGGUGAAAUAGACUUGUCUGUGAAGAUGCGGACUACCUGCACCAGGACAGAAAGACCCUAUGAAGCUUUACUGUAACUUGAAAUUGAAAUUGGACUUUAUUUGCGCAGUAUAGGUGGAAGGCGUUGAAAGUAAUCUUGCGGGAUUAGUGGAGCCAUCAGUGAGAUACCACUCCUAUAAUGUUAGAUUUCUAACUUUGGAUCAUGAUCUGGUCAAAGAACAGUUUCAGGCGGGCAGUUUGACUGGGGCGGUCGCCUCCCAAAUGGUAACGGAGGCGUACAAAGGUUUCCUCUGAACGGGUAGAAAUCGUAUCUAGAGUGUAAAGGCAUAAGGAAGCUUGACUGUGAGACCUACAAGUCGAGCAGGGACGAAAGUCGGUCUUAGUGAUCUGACGGUGCUGAGUGGAAAGGCCGUCACUCAACGGAUAAAAGUUACUCUAGGAUAACAGGCUGAUCUCCCCCAAGAGUUCACAUCGACGGGGAGGUUUGGCACCUCGAUGUCGGCUCAUCGCAUCCUGGGGCGGUAGUACGUCCCAAGGGUUGGGCUGUUCGCCCAUGAAAGCGGUACGCGAGCUGGGUUCAGAACGUCGUGAGACAGUUCGGUCCCUAUCUGUUGUGGGCGUUGGAGAUUUGAGGGAAGCUGCUCCUAGUACGAGAGGACCGAGAAGGACAUACCUCUGGUGUACCAGUUAUCGUGCCAACGGAAAACGCUGGGUAGCUAUGUAUGGAGAGGAUAACCGCUGAAAGCAUCUAAGUGGGAAGCCCACCUCAAGAUGAGUAUUCUC